rnacentral:rRNA from 1 species
AGAGUUUGAUCAUGGCUCAGAACGUACGCUGGCGGCACGCCUAACACAUGCAAGUCGAACGCAGUAGCAAUACUGAGUGGCAAACGGGUGAGUAUAAUGUGGGAAUCUGCCUUUUGGUUUGGAAUAACACGGGGAAACUUGUGCUAAUACCGGAUAAGCCUUUACAGGGAAAGUUUUAACGCCGAAAGAUGAGCCUGCACUUGAUUAGCUAGUUGGUAAGGUAAAAGCUUACCAAGGCAACGAUCAAUAGCUGUUCUUAGAGGAAGACCAGCCACAUUGGGACUGAGACACGGCCCAGACUCCUACGGGAGGCAGCAGUGGGGAAUCUUGCACAAUGGGGGAAACCCUGAUGCAGCGAUGCCGCGUGAGUGAAGAAGGCCCUUGGGUUGUAAAACUCUUUCGUCGGGGAAGAAAAUGACUGUACCCGAAUAAGAAGGUCCGGCUAACUUCGUGCCAGCAGCCGCGGUAAUACGAAGGGACCUAGCGUAGUUCGGAAUUACUGGGCUUAAAGAGCUCGUAGGUGGUUAAAAAAGUUGAUGGUGAAAUCCCAAGGCUUAACCUUGGAACUGCCAUCAAAACUUUUUAGCUAGAGUGUGAUAGAGGUAAGUGGAAUUUCUA